rnacentral:rRNA from 1 species
GACGAACGCUGGCGGCGUGCUUAACACAUGCAAGUCGAACGAAGUGGCGAACGGGUGAGUAACGCGUAAUCAACCUGCCCUUCAGGGGGGGACAACAGUUGGCAACGACUGCUAAUACCGCAUACUGAAGGUGGGGAUUGCGUCUGAUUCGCUAGUUGGAGGGGUAACGGCCCACCAAGGCGAUGAUCAGGAGCCGGUCUGAGAGGAUGAACGGCCAAAUUGGGACUGAGACACGGGCCAGACUCCUACGGGAGGCAGCAGGGGGGAAAUUUCCGCAAUGGAGGAAAGGCUGACGGAGCAACGCCGCGGGAGUGAUGACGGCCUUCGGGGUGUAAAGCUCUGUUAAGCGGGACGCGGUACCGGAAUAGAAAGCCACGGCUAACUACGUGCCAGCAGCCGCGGUAAUAC